rnacentral:lncRNA from 1 species
GUGGAGUGCCAGAAGAUUUUUAUUCCUAUGAACUUUUGAAAAUCUAAUACUUUUUUUCAGAAAUUUUUGCUCUUCAUACAAUGUUCUUCUUCUGAUAAAAAAUAAACACUAUAAUUUAAAAAAAAAGAAACUAUCAGAUUCUUGAAUAUUUUCAGACACAUCCUGAAAUCAUGAGCAGAAACAGACCACAACAUAUGUUAAUGAAAAUUGUUAAAAGGUUUUAAAAUGUGAGGUCCUGCUGCUGUAGCAAGUACAUUGUAUACACUCAACUUAUUAUAGUUUCUUCAAAAAUACAUAAAAUGGGAGAAUGGUUAUAUAAUCAGGGGCAAUAACUCCUAUAUACUAAAAAGAAGCAGAACUUUGACAAUUUCAGCCAUAUUGACUUAUUUGUAGAUCUUCUUUUGCAUUCUAAAGUUUGACUUUAUCUACUAAAGUUUAAAAGGAAUAAAUAUGCCAAAAUUGAGGAAAACUAACAGUCAGGUGAAUGACCCCACUAAUGGAUGUACACCACUAAUUCAUGGCCCCAUUGCUUUCUAUGUUCAAUUCCUCAAUUUCAAACAGGCAC